AGUUGAAUACGGCGUUUUCAAGUGAAGGAUUUCAAAAAUCUAAUAUGGCAUGCCUAUUUUUCAUGGAAAAACAAAUGGUACCUUAUUUACUAUUUAGUUUUUAAGCUAGACUAAUUUGACUACACGCAUCCUGAGGUGCCUUCUAUUUGAAGUUCUGCCUAGGGUGGCCUUUGUCUUGGUUUACAGCUCCAUAUGGCUACCUAUGUACUCCCUCCGUUCCAAAAUAUAAGUCCUUUUAGACAUUUCAAAUGGAAUACAACAUACGGAUGUAUGUAGACAUAUUUUAGAUUGUAGAUUCGCUCAUUUUGCUCCGUAUGUAGUCACUUGGUGAAAUCUCUAGAAAGACUUAUAUUUAGGAACGGAGGGCAUAUAACAUAUGUAGGUUCUGUUUGAACCGUCUCAAAUCACAUAGAGAUGUUAAAUUUUCAAUUUGUUGCCUCGCGGUCGUGUGCCAUCACCAUGUUUACUCCAGAAAAGUGGAAUGUGCAGAGUUUCUGUGUUGAUUAGUCAAAUAUUUGCUUUGCCUUAAAGACUGUCCCAAUCUAUGUUCCAGGUUGUGGCAACGCUGCAGAUAUGCCCAUUGCCAUUGAGCAUUUCUAUCUAUAUGCUUCUACAGAGUAUUUGGUUUUUUAACUAUACGCUUGACGAAAUAAUUUCCUUAUAAGCCGGGACAAGGCGUUUGUAGUUGGUAUUUGUACUAUAAGCUCAAUUUUUUUGGUUCAUCUCAUCUCUGGUUAUUUUUUCGUUUUUUGUGUUUCUGCAGCAUAUUAUCAUUAGCAUGUAAAACCUCUUAUAUUUCUUGUUUUCAACAAUUAUUCUUUGGCAGGGAAGACUAUGAUAACACUAAGAUUAUCAGGAAAGGAUUCAGAGCUUUUUUUUAAUCCAGAUUAUCACACAUGAUGCAAAAUUAACAACCACGACUUUGAAAUAUGGAGAUGAUGCUUAUUAUGUGCUAGAAAUCAAAUAUGUAAAGGAGAAGAUAAUGUUUGCGAAGGUGUGUAUACUGAACAGGCAUCCCAAUUGAUAUGUUUUUCUGUUGUUUCUUGAUGUGCUCUCAUGCAGCUCUGUCCAUAUAUACUGAUUGUUAUACUUAUUGUUGUGUGAGUUGCAGGAGAGGGGAGAGAGAUACGGGUUGAUUCUGGGUAAACUUUGCUUAAUUUGUUGGAGAAAAUGCUCGAUAGAUCUCAUGGAUGGAUGAGGUUGUGGCAGUAGUUCUCGGGUGCAAUAUCUAUCUUGAUAGAGUGAUCGAUCAGGGCACAUUAGAAGCAGAAAGAAGAGGAAACGUUUGGGCCGUCUAUGGCGUUGAAGAUUCAGUGUUUCUGUCUUGUGUACAUGCACGGCCAGUUCAGUAACUAGAUGGCCUUUUCUACUGUACUGGUGCUGCUACUUUUCACAUGCUAGCUUCUUUGGAAAGCGCCAACAGUGUGUACAACAUGUAAAGAGUCCAUGUUGAAAGAACAGAAGCAGAAGUAUGGAGUUGAUGUAUUAAUGGUCAAUCAAGGAAUUCAGUCUCGAUGAGCUUAUCUAAUGAUGUGUGGGUUGAGCCUUAGGUCAUUUUCAAAGUAACGGAAGUACAAGAGAUUACUUGAAAAUAUGCAUUUUUUCAAUGUGACAUGGUCUUAAGUGCGAUUUUAUACCACCAAAUUAAAAUGUGGUAUAUCUCAUUGUAGACAACAAGCCUACAUUUUUAUUUUAUUUUAUUGAAGGGGUUAAACUUGUUAUCGUAUGUGUUUGCCCACAACUAAAUCAACUAAAACAUGAUUUUUUUUUUCAAUGUGAACAUG
rnacentral:lncRNA from 1 species